GGGCGUUUAGCUCAGUUGGUAGAGCGGUACCCUUACAAGGUACGGGUCACAGGUUCGAGUCCUGUAGCGCCCA
rnacentral:tRNA from 1 species